AUGGCCAGUGCUCCUCAUCCCCAGCCAGUGAAGGUUCCUCGGCUCUGCUCUCUGCUGUGCCGUGUUGGGAGACAAGGAGGAAGCCCUGAAGAGCAGCAACACUUAAGGAAACUCUUUGAAGGCUGUUGCAGAAAGCGGUGCCUCCCUUGGCCAGCCUUUCCCAUCGCUCCCGCUGCACAAUGCCAAAGCUUUCCCGCGCCAUCACGGCUCAUCGCCGUCAACCCUCGUCAUCCUCGUCCUCCAGGAGCGGCUCUGGCUGCAGACGCACGAUGCCCUACCAGCCAUUUCUUCUGUUUCCCAUGGGGAUUCCACACUGGUUCAUCCCAGGAGCCAGGAUGGGGCCAAACCGUGCUCCAUGACCUCUUCCCUCCUUCCCCACUGCUGCCAUUUGUGAUUCCUGUUCACAGCACUGGGGUUUUCUACCAGGGAACUGGCACUGCCUGGAUCAGCCAUCCCUUCUCCUGGCUUCGUGGUGCUGGCUGGAAUGGGGAAGUGGUACCUCUGGAACCCAGGAUGUUUCCUACCUUCCUGCUGAGCUGCUCCGAGCCAGGCCCAGAGCCUCCCACUCGUCUGGAGGGUGUUAACGAUGAUGGACAGAGCUCAGGGAUGGACAUCAGUCCUGUGAUGUGGACACGUUCAUGGCUGAGUAGGUCCUGCAGGUGGGAACGUGGUCCUGGCUCCAUCCUCGUGGUCCAGGGAUGGAUGUGGCAGCAAGAGAGCAGCAAACAGCCCAGCCCAGCCCUGCUGGAACACUGGACCUUCAAUGUGCUUCUGAUCCCUUGGGUCAUUACUGGCACCAAACAGCAGUUCCAGGAAAAUGAGGAAAAAAGGGGUCUUAGGGAGAAUCUAAAGCUGAAGAGAUCUGGAAAAAAUGGACAGCAAGGCAUGAGAUGAACGACUGGGUUUGAGGGAAAGGAAGCCAAGGUCAUCAUCUUCUCAUUUCCUUCUCAAAGCAAUCCAGAGAGUCCUUCAGGGCAGCUGCAGGAGGAGCACCAGGAGACUGCCCAAGCUCAUUAUUGUGUUGGGAGAACUGUGGGGUUCCCACCCUGGGGAGUAGAGAGGAGACAAAGGUGACCACAGAUGUCAACGCAAACCCAGCUGAGAAGAGAGCAGAAAGGAGCCAUGGAGCAGCAGGUGUGUCCAGAGCUCCUGAAGGAGCUGGGGGUGAACCAGCUGAUCCCCAGACAGAUCCUACCUACCCACUGCCAGAAAGAGUUGUCUGGAGCCUGGCAGAUGUGAUAAUAAAUUUACUUUUCACAUUUCA
rnacentral:lncRNA from 1 species